rnacentral:rRNA from 1 species
AUGAACGCUGGCGGCGUGCCUAAUACCUGCAAGUCGAGCGCACGGACGAGAAGCUUGCUUCUCUGAUGUUAGCGGCGGACGGGUGAGUAACACGUGGAUAACCUACCUAUAAGACUGGGAUAACUUCGGGAAACCGGAGCUAAUACCGGAUAAUAUUUUGAACCGCAUGGUUCAAAAGUGAAAGACGGUCUUGCUGUCACUUAUAGAUGGAUCCGCGCUGCAUUAGCUAGUUGGUAAGGUAACGGCUUACCAAGGCAACGAUGCAUAGCCGACCUGAGAGGGUGAUCGGCCACACUGAAACUGAGACACGGUCCAGACUCCUACGGGAGGCAGCAGUAGGGAAUCUUCCGCAAUGGGCGAAAGCCUGACGGAGCAACGCCGCGUGAGUGAUGAAGGUCUUCGGAUCGUAAAACUCUGUUAUUAGGGAAGAACAUAUGUGUAAGUAACUGUGCACAUCUUGACGGUACCUAAUCAGAAAGCCACGGCUAACUACGUG